AUUACCUACGGGGGGCAGCAGUGGGGAAUAUUGGGCAAUGGAGGAAACUCUGACCCAGCAAUGCCGCGUGAAUGAAGAAGGUCUUCGGAUUGUAAAGUUCUUUAGUCAGGGAAGAAGUCAAUGACGGUACCUGAAGAAUAAGCUCCGGCUAACUACGUGCCAGCAGCCGCGGUAAUACGUAGGUGGCAAGCGUUGUUCGGAAUAACUGGGCGUAAAGGAUGCGUAGGCGGUUAAACAAGUUAUAUGUUAAAUAUAUAGGCUUAACCUGUAGAAAGCAUAUAAAACUGUUUAACUAGAGUGCAGGG
rnacentral:rRNA from 1 species